GAUGAACGCUAGCGGCAGGCCUAAUACAUGCAAGUCGAACGGUGUCUUCGGACAUAGUGGCGCACGGGUGCGUAACACGUAUGCAACCUACCUUACAUUGGGGGAUAGCCUUUCGAAAGGGAGAUUAAUACCGCAUAAGACAGUAGCUGGGCAUCCAGCAGCUGUUAAAGAUUUAUCGAUGUAAGCUGGGCAUGCGUCCAAUUAGCUAGUUGGUGAGGUAACGGCUCACCAAGGCAAUGAUUGGUAGGGGAACUGAGAGGUCAAUCCCCCACACUGGCACUGAGAUCCGGGCCAGACGCCUACGGGAGGCAGCAGUAGGGAAUAUUGGGCAAUGGACGCAAGUCUGACCCAGCGAUGCCGCGUGCAGGAUGAAGGCGUUAUGCGUUGUAAACUGCUUUUAUACAGGAAGAAACGACUCUUGCGAGAGGCAUUGACGGUACUGUAUGAAUAAGCACCGGCUAACUCCGUGCCAGCCGCCGCCGUAAUAC
rnacentral:rRNA from 1 species